GUGCGGGUGUGUUGCCGUGGGUUCCUGCCAGCGGCCCAGUGAGGGAACUCCUGUCAGGAGCCAAGUCACCAGCACCUGGCAGGCUUUGUCCCUGCGGGAAGAGAGAGAAAGAGGAGGUGUUCUCAUCUGGCAUUCACGUCCCCUGGUCCCAGAAAAAAAGUCAAACACAAAUGUUGCUUGAGGUACGUAAAUAAGAGAGAAGAUCCUUUCUGCUUGCUGUUCCAAGGAGAGAAAGCCCAUGAUCUUGGGCAAAUGCAUAUAGCUGGCAUGAGGUUAUUGCAGAGUGAACUCCUGAGAAUGCCUUUCCAGUGGGGACACAUCCCAGUCCGAAUGGCCUCGGAAAGCAGCCCUUCUACAGACUUCUCACUGAAUAUAUAAACCUGAAUUUCAGGAUAGAAUUGUGUUAUGAAAACAGCUAGUAUUAGAUAACACUGUCUGCUGAAGAUUCUAUCCACACGCAAUCUUAAAUUGAAGGAAAACCUUGAAGUCAAGAACUAUGUGACCUUGACCAAGGGCCUUGUUUCUUCAUCUGUAAAAGAGCAUAAUUAUAGUAUCUAUUUCACAUGAUUGUUGUGAAGAUGACAAGGCAUAAUGCAUAUAUCAACAAGCUGAAUCUGAAAUUUGGAAAAGUGAAAGAACUAGAUUAGUCAAAAGUUUCUGUAAAAUAAGAGCUAAGUUGGAAGACUUGCACUACCCAAUAUCACAACUUAUUCAAAAGCUACAAGAUGGUGGCAUUGGUGAAAGGAUAGAACAUAGACCAAUGCAACAGAAGAGUCCAUAAAUAGACUCAUACAAACAUAUUCAAUGCCUUUUAAAUAAAGUUGCAAAGUUGG